AAAAAACUGAAGGAGCACAAAGAAGCAAACCCUGUUCGUUGAAGAAUCCUGAAAACCAGGCUUCAAAUUCCUUUGAGAGAAAAUAGAUAUCGAGAUUUCAAGAGCUUGAAGAUUACCUAACAACCCCACAAUUUUCUUUAUUCGUCUCUAACAAGAUUGCACUGGUAGAGGAAAUUGGUGUUGUUCUUUGUUUUCCUUCUGUUUACCUUAAAAGUUGG
rnacentral:misc_RNA from 1 species